UUGCUUGUUAUCACAAAUAUCUAAUCAGCCAUUCACAUGGCAGCAAUUCAUGCAUGUAGUCAUGAAGACAUGGUGAAG